UACAGAGGGUGCGAGCGUUAAUCGGAAUUACUGGGCGUAAAGGGCGCGUAGGCGGUCAUUUAAGUUGGAUGUGAAAUCCCUGGGCUUAACCUAGGAACUGCAUUCAAUACUGGGUGACUGGAGUGCAGUAGAGGAUAGUGGAAUUUCCGGUGUAGCGGUGAAAUGCGUAGAUAUCGGAAGGAACACCAGUGGCGAAGGCGGCUAUCUGGACUGACACUGACGCUGAGGCGCGAAAGCGUGGGGAGCAAACAGGAUUAGAAACCCCAGUAGU
rnacentral:rRNA from 1 species